GAAAGCUCAUUCCUGACCCCGGACAAGCCAUUUCAAUUACUACAGUGGUGGCCCUUUAUUCUUCCCAGCCCGGCCACAACGUCCAGAAGACAAGUCAGAGGUAUCCCCUGGGAAUGCCACAGCUUCUGGUCUCCCCCUGGCCCCUGUUGUAGUGACCACAGCUACCAUGGGAGUUUAGUUCU
rnacentral:lncRNA from 1 species